UACGUAGGGUGCAAGCGUUGUCCGGAAUUAUUGGGCGUAAAGAGCUCGUAGGCGGUUUGUCGCGUCUGCUGUGAAAACUCGGGGCUUAACCCCGGGCCUGCAGUGGGUACGGGCAGACUAGAGUGCGGUAGGGGAGACUGGAAUUCCUGGUGUAGCGGUGAAAUGCGCAGAUAUCAGGAGGAACACCGGCGGCGAAGGCGGCCAACUGGACGAAUACUGACGCUGAGACUCGAAAGCGUGGGGAGCAAACAGG
rnacentral:rRNA from 1 species